UGGUAGGCUUGGCAGUGCUAGGUUAAUGGUUGGACUUCAUCUUUGAGGUCUUUUCCAACCGAAAUGGUUCUGGGACUGUCACUGGCAGGGAGCAGUGCCUCAGGCUCUGCCUCUUUUGGUGGGCAGUGCAGAGUCUGAGGUUUACUGACUGAUCCUUCAGUGGAGAAAGUAUUUCCCUUCUGGGCAGGAUAGGGGAAACAAAACUGAAAGAAAGCAGCUUAAAUCAGAAAAGAAAGCAUCCUGCUCUACCUGCCAUGAAGCUACUGCCUUCCCUUCACAAAAUGGGACCGGAGCCUGAGUAAACAAAGGGGCAAGGAGAGCAAGUGGUCACAGCAGCAGGAUCUGAACUCACCCUGGAGUCUUCCUGCCUGAGAAGAUCGCUGUUAAUAUCACAGCUUUGAGGAAACAACAGGACUGAGGUGAUGGAAGAGGGGUGUGUUCUGCAGUCCUGCAAUCCAGUAUUUAUGGUGGUGUCAUCAGAAAAAGGCCACGGAGUGUGAAGACCUUGGCACUGGGGCUCGCCAGGCUGGUUUUGUCUAAAGCUGCCCUGACCUGCCCAAAACUUUGCUGUAGUUUGCUGUUCCAGGUUUCAGGAAACCACAUGACGGAGGUGAAAUUGUUUUAUAUAAACUAUAAUUUUAACCCAGUGAGACGACGGCUCCCUGCUUGCUUCCCUGAAGCUGAAGGAGGUUGUUUCUGCCCUGGCCAAGCCUGGUGGCCUAAUUCUGCAUCCCUGCGUGCGAUGUCUCACCCCAACAGUGGGUUUUCCUUGGGCUUUCACCUGCUCAAAGCAACAUCUCCUGGCUGCCUCGCUUCUGCUUCAGCUGCUGCUUCAGGGACUUCAAAUAUACAUCAAAUUUAGACGAAGCAGAAAGGUGAGGUGCCCGUGUUGUCUUCAGCAGCUUUGUAGCCCACGUCUGGGCAGAGAACUUGGUACAACCGCAGCGGAUGCUGGCUUCUGUGCCUAGCGCUUGGCCAAAGUCUUUUGGCACGCAGCACCCAGGUGGCCCACAAAGAUUUUCUCAUCUCGUGCUGUUUUCUUUCAGUUCAAAGUAGCUGAAGUGCUGAGAGGGCUGUCGGCACCUUCCAGGGCACUUUAUUUUUAGCACAGCAUCAAGAGCGGGCUGUGCGCCUUAGGUGAUGCGAAGACACUUGAAAACAUAAAGCUCUCCUUUUCAGCGCAGGCGAGCUCUUAAACCUGCCUGGCCUUUCUAGUGGCUAAACUGCGUGUUUGUGUUGUAUUUCACUCGGUGGGAUUUAUUUGAUGUUUCCCUUUUGAGGCGUUUUUGCCCAUGUGGGUAUUCCCAGUCUGCCCCCGAGUCCCUGCAGCCCCUCUGAAGCGCGGAGCUGCCCUAGGAUCUGGAGGAGCCUCGUGGUGCUCAGAUGAUCCCAGCGGCAACUUUGGCCUCGUGGCCGCCGCCACCACGAAAUGAGAACCCCUGAUUAUUUUCGCAGACUUGUUACUGAGCAGCAGUCUCACAACAGCUCGCGGCAUCUGAGCCCCUUGCUUAUGAAACUCUCCGCGUGUGCAGGCGGGAGGCGUUUCAUCCGGAGCUGGAACACAUCAGCCAAGCAGAAUUUCCUUUGAGCUGCAGAUAAGCAGAUGCUGGCGAUAGAGAGGCCCUGCUCAAACAGACACCGUGCUUCCAGCCUUCAGAGCAGCCUCCAGCGCCAAAGGGGAAGGAAGUAUUUAAUAUUGAGAACACAGGGACAUAUAGCAAAAAAACAAUGCUUCGAGAUGCAUCACCCUGAACACUGCACGCCCCGGGCUGUUAACCCGCUGCUGUCGGGGUGAGAGUGCCCGAGGUGGCCUCGGAGCAUGGGAUGAGGCUGAAGGGUUCUGAGCCUGGGCAGUAUUUGGUAAGGAUUCCUCAGGAAUGGGCAACAAGGAGGUGGCACAUCAUGGGGGAAAGCGGGAUAGGUCAUGGAGAAAGCUGGUCGUGGAUGUGGGCGCACUGAAAAAUCACAUUGUCUUUGCGAUGUGCUACCUGAAUGGUCAGGUUACAGAAGGUAAAAAAUAAUAAUAAUAAAAAAAAGCCAACCCCACAUCAACAACAACAAAAUCAAAAACCCAAGCACAAAAUCCACCAAGCAACAAAACGAUGCCAGGCUCAUUGCUGAGCCCUGCAGAGCAUGGGAGGCAUCGCUUCAGUUCUUUUCACCGUCAGCAGAAAUUGUAAAUAUAAUGGUCUCUGCUUGCUGAGAGCAAGCAGAAGCAGCACACUGCACAGCCCAACUGCUAUCAAAAAGACAGAGUGGGAUAAUAAAGAUGUGGUCAAAAGCAGAUGGAGGUUUAGGCAGAAUCUUAGGCAGACUAGUUCUUCAAUGGAAGUCUUAGAAAAAAAAAGUAAAAAUUAAGCCCGGUAAUAAGAAGCUAAAUAUUUCUGGAGAAGAAAGGGAGCAGCAUUUGCUAAUUUUGGGUAGCCCCACCUGUGCUCCAAUGACAAUUGGAAUAAUGAAUAAUGAAGAGCAGGGAAAAAUAUGCAAGAAGUUACCCCAUGGUCACAGAUAGUAUGAAUCUACAGAUAAGAGACAGUAAGGGAGCAAAAGGCAAUUCGAGGGACUCUUUCCAGGUUUGGGGGGAUAGAGGAGAGACUGGCUGGGGAAGAACCUCAUUGCAGGGCCACCUGCCAGGGUAACUGAUGGCACGGCUGAAUAUCCAGCAACAGAAACUUCAUCCAAGGGCAAGCAGUUGAAGAAGGGGAGAGCAGGAUUAGGCUCUGCUGCUCAAAGACCUUGAAUCGAAAGGAGAUGCUGCAUCCUCACAGCGGCUGGGGCAACGGGAGCCCUUCAGCCUGGGUUCUGCAGCUCCCCCACGAUGUACACGUCACCCAAGUGAUGCUCACAGAGGGACACCCCCAUCUCCAUCCCCCCCAGCCCACGGGAGGAUGCUACAAGAUGCUCUGCCCACUGCUUCCAGAGACUGCCUCAAGAUGGUGCUCCAGCCAAUUUGCUGUAUUUAUUUAUUUUUAAAGAAUUUGCAUGCGUUACA